AGAAAUGUUAAAGGCAAUAACUUUCCUUUUCUUUCCUAUUGGAUGAUUCCAAAUAAACAUAUUUUUAACGAAUUUUAAUCGCUAAAGUCAAACACAGUACGCGGCCUUGGAUAUUAAAUUUCAGAGUAUAUUUGUAAAUGUAGAAUCUAUUAUAAUCGGUGAGUGUGGGAUUCGGUUCCUCCUCUGAUUUAAGGCACAGGAUUCCAAUGAUUAAAUAACUUUUUUGAGGGGAAGAAAGAAAUAAAGAAAAUGGAGAGGUUAGUAGCAGCGGUGCUGGCAGCAGGUGUUCUGCAGGUAUUGCUAGCAACCGCCGACGAUCAUUAUCUGCUCUCUCGUAUUGCUUUCGGAUCUUGUGCCAACCAAAGUGCUCCUCAGCCCAUCUGGGACGCCAUCAACAAGUUUGAUCCCCAAGUAUUCAUAUGGCUGGGUGACAACAUAUAUGGAGACAUUAGACGUCCUUUCAUCUUUCUGGGAAAGGAAAGGACGAUUGGUCCCUGGCAGAAUGCUCCCAGAUUCAUUCCUUCAUCUUCCUCCAAAAUGCUUUCCAGAUACAACUCGGCUAAGAACGUUCCCGGUUAUUUACGUCUCCGCGCCAAAGCCAAGGUCGUUGGUACCUGGGAUGAUCAUGAUUAUGGACUCAAUGAUGCUGGCAAAGAAUUUUCUGCCAAAUCUACUAAUCAGAGACUUCUUCUCGAUUUCUUAGAUGAACCCCAAGACAGUCCCAGGCGCAAGCAGGCUGGUGUUUACACAUCUUAUACAUUUGGCCCUCCUGGUAAACAAGUCAAGAUUAUCCUAUUAGAUACUAGGUAUCACAGAGAUCCUCUAUCCAGUGACGGGAGCGUCUUGGGGGAUUCUCAGUGGUCAUGGUUAGGGAAAGAGUUGAGGGGUACACCGUCAGCCAUUACCAUUAUUGGCUCUUCUAUUCAGGUUAUAUCAAAUCUCUCUGGUACAACUGGACCCUUGUUUUAUAUGGAGUCUUGGGGACGUUUUCCAAAGGAGAGGGAUCGCCUUUUUAAGUUGAUAAAUGAUAGUAAGAGAGAUGGAGUCUUCUUCAUAAGCGGAGAUGUUCAUUUUGGAGAAAUUACACGAUAUGACUGUGCUGCUGGAUAUCCCUUGUACGACAUUACCUCAAGUGGGUUAACCCAAGCGGUUGAGAAGGUGCUCCCAUCACCCUUGCGUUUCAUAGUUAGAUUUUUGGCAUGGUUUACUCCUAGUACCAUGAGAGUUAAGAACCAAAAUUGCAGAUAUAGGUCAUGCACAUACGGUGAACCAAAUUUUGGGGCAAUUCAGAUCGAUUGGGAUGCAUCUCCAGUGAACUUGAAAAUUCAAGUCCGUGACAUAAAUGGACUUCCUGUGACUGGUGUAGAUAUUUCAUUAUCUGAAUUGCAAGCAUGGAAUCGUACAAUUAAAGCAGGACAAGAUCAGAGACACUGCACUCUGGAAGUGAAACUGCCAUGGAUUGUUAGAUAUCGCUUGGCUAUUCUGGUUUACUCUGUUUUAGCUUGAUAAUGGAACCGGAGAAUAUGUGCUGGAAUGCAAAAUGAACCUACCAUUUUAGAGUUCAGAAAAGAUGAACCAAAGACUGAAGCAUACUUGGCUUGUUCUAAAUAGAGUACUUAGCACUGCACUUAGGUGUUUGAUCAGUGUUGCUUCUUGCUUUGGUAGGACUAAUUUGUGCGGUGACAUUAGCCUGCCGGGUGUGCCUCAAAAAAUGCAAGACUGAUUGAGUUUGAUAUGGAGUUCAGUAUGGAGAUCCUGGGGAACUAAUUACAAAAUGUAGUAUCUGACACACGAGUUAGUGCUAUGUUAAAGCUAAAGGUAAAGGAAGGUAUAUCUAUCUAUCUAUAUAUAUCCCUAAAUGGUAUUAUACAGUAGCUCAUAAAACUAGGGAUAACUACUUGUCAAUAUAUUUGUUAACAAAAAAGGAACUUUUCAGUAUAGUUGCUCAUAAAAUACAAGAGAGGAUGUAGGACGGGAUUUAAAAAUUAAGAAUUUGUAGCAAGUAUGCUAUGCCAAAACACAGACCUUUCCUCUCCGUCAUUUAAAUAGACGCUGCCUUUUAGCUACAAACCCUUAAAUCAAGAAACUUCCUUAAUCCUUAGCAGUAUUGAUACCUUUGAUCAAAUUUUAAUAUUUUUGAUGUGCAGGAUCCAUGAAUAUGGCAAGCAUAGAGCAUACUCUAUCAAGACUCAUAGUUAACUCAUAAGCUCAAUCUAGUCUAGAAGGAAAUCUAGAGAGAAAGCAGGGAAUUUAGAAAGCCAUAGAUAGAAAACACACUGAUAUUUUAUUGAUAUCCCUCGAUCUAUCCUUACAAGAGGAUAUAGCUCUCCUUAUAUAGAUGAAGAGGCUCACAAACAGACAAACUUAUAGUACAGAUAUUUUACAUAAAGAAAACAAUAUAAGAUAUCUUUAUUGAAAGCAAAUAGUAAAAGUAGGAUUCCUUCUUUAAUCAUAGUCGGUGGACUCAUCUGAUGUAAAAUUAAGAUCAAUGAUACGGUCUUGCUUUUUCUAAUAGAUUUCCAGAUGGAGAACAUCAUGGCGUACAUCUGGAUUAAAAUCUUCAUCCUUAUCUUCAUGUUGUGACUAGGAAUCUUGAAUCCUUAUCUUGUCAAGAUUGAUUUGGCUGCAGUACUAAGGAUAAUCUUGAGACCAUUCUGUUGGAUCUGGAAUACUCUCGUGAUAUUCUUGGAUGGCCUUUAAAAUUUCUUCAUGACAGGGUUUAUGCUGAACUGGCCAAGUAUCCCAUGGAGCAGUGACAUCUGGAGGAGGCCAUAUUUCAAAUGGAAUGACCUUGUUAAGCUGACAAAGGAAUUUUUGAAUAUUUCUGUAAUGACUAUCAGAAUUUUGGAUAUCAUCAGAGAAAACUCUGUGGAUCCAAGAGUAGGAAAAGAUCCUAGUUGAGUUGAUUUUCCACAUUGCAUGAAAUAUUGAGGUUUGUAAAAGAUGAUUAUCAUGUAAAGUCCCAAUUUUUCAUGGUAA